UUUUGUAAUUUAGAGGAGGGACAUCAUUGCUCCCCUUCACUUAUAUUAUAGAGAUAAUAGCAUUUCUGUAUGCAAUGGGUCGCGACAACAUGUUUUUUAUUGGGCGAACUUUCGUAAUCUUAAGCGGCUAAUUUUAUAUGCGUGCAAUACGUUUAGCAUUUUAGUUACUCAAUUUUGAUAAGUUUGAAUUAUAUUUUAAUUUAUUUUGUUCAACUUUCUUUUAUCAGAGUUAUUGUCUAAGUUUUCAAUUGGUUAACUAUUACUCCGUUUGUGUUUAUUUUUUUUAGAAAUUCAAGUUUGUUAUAAUAUUUUUGUUAAUUUAUAAUUGUGAGAUAUUUUCAGAAAGUGUGUAAUAUUUCUUUAUCAGAUUUGACUUUUUGAAUUGGGUUUGUAGAAAAAACUAAAGAUAUUUUUGUGUUUGUUAAGUUUUUUUUUAUGUAUGUAUAAAUAUUGAGGAAUAGAUUUUAAGAUUUUAAGAUUUCAAUAUUAAAAGGGUAAUUUAGUAAUAUAAUAAGGGUACCAUAAUGUAAUAGCCCUAUUUUUAAUAGCGUUUAUUAAAUAUUGAUUAUAUUCAUUAAGCUAAUUAUGUUUCGGAAAUUCUUAUAUUAUUUGAGUUGUGGAGUAUUAUUUUUAUUUGUCUUGUUGUAAUAUAUUUAUUUAUUUCAACUUUAUGAAGUUAUUAUUAUUAUUUUAUAUUUUGGGUUUGUGCAAUUAGUUGACUGGUUUUUCACCCAAAUAGAAAAUCAAAGUCGGGCUCUUAUCCCUUCUUGUUGUCGGUUUAAUGGAACCCCAAACCCACCCUAAUGACUUUGCUCUUCUCGUGUCUUCUAUUCUUAAAACCCCAACCCCAAAGAAAACCCCAAACCUGUGAAACCCGAAACCCAUCUCUCUGACCCGUGAUUUCUUCCUCUCUCCUCUCGCCAGAUGUCGCCGGAGUUCCCCCUUGUCGGCGCCGUUGAUAUUCACGUUUUCUCUCUCCUCUUGUGUUUCGUGCUGCUGUUGUUCUUCGUGGUGGUUGUUGGUGGUUUCGCUGCUGCUGCUCUGAGUUGUUGCUCGACGAAAAACCGCCGGAACCUUGUCGAUGGCGUCGUGUUGCUGUGGUUUAGCCUCGCCGGCUCUCCGUCACCACUCGCUGUAGCUCGCUCCCCUGUCGUGCGUGUUAUCCCCUGCUCCAAGUGAGCAGAGGUAAAUUACUUUCUUAUUUCAGUAUUGGAUUUCUUAUUGUUGUUGUAGCAGCGUUGUAGAGGUUGUUGCGGGGUGGUUGUUACUUUUGUUUGUUGUUGUUGUUGCACAGUCGUUAUUGCGUUGUUGUUGACGAGGCGUAGUUGUGGUGGCUGUUGUCGUUGUUGUCGUUGUAGUGGUGGUUGAUUGUUAUUGGGAUUAUUGAUGCUGCUAUGUUGUUGUUUGUGUUGUUGAAGUGUUGUUCUUGUUGUUGUCCUGUUUUAGUGUCGAUGUUGGUGUUAUUGUUAGUGGUGAAGUUGUUGUUGCUGCGUUAUUAUUGUUGUGGUUGCUCUAUUGUUGUGGGUUGUUGUAUUAGUUCGGUGUUGUUAUGGUUGUUGGUGUUGUUAGGCUGGUUGUUGGCGUGGUUGUGCGUUGUUGAUAUUUUAAUGGUGGUUGUUGUGUCAUUGUAGCGGUGGUUUACUAUUAGUGGGUUAUUGAAGUUUUGUAGUGUGUUGUGUUACUGUUAAUAAUACUAACUAUUGUUGUUAUCAAAAGGAGGAAUGUUUUAUAAUUUCUUAUUUAUGUGAUUAAGUUUUCUAGUUAAGCUUGGUUUACUCAGUUCAAUGAUUUAGAGUUAUAGUUACGAAGUGAGAAUUAAGAGAAUAUUAAGGUAGAUAAUUCUUAGAUUGGGAGUUGGUUAUAAUUUCACUUUGUAGUUUAGAUUAGUUUAAGGAUAGUUUUUAAUUAUUGUUAUUAUUAUGAGGUGAAUUGUUGGAGAACGAUUAUGGAGUUUAAGUCUCAUUUGGAGAUGAAGAUUAAUGAAAGAGGUUGUAUCGUUCAGAAUUGGAUAACGUUUCAGGUUUGAUAUUCAAAGCUCGGAAUCGGAAGUGAAGCAAGGUUUUGAGGUCGUCCUAGAUUAUGGAUUGAGCUUGUAUCUAGAUAGCUGAUUUGAGAAUAGUUAUUUAUAUUUCGUUGUAUAUGAUAUUUGGGAAUAUUAGUGGAGUCAUUGGUGUAUUUAAGGAUAUUUUUCCGCUGCGAAGUAAUUUAUUUAAGAGUUAAUUCUUGCUUAUGGA